AUUGAACGCUGGCGGCAGGCCUAACACAUGCAAGUCGAGCGGCAGCGGGAAAGUAGCUUGCUACUUUUGCCGGCGAGCGGCGGACGGGUGAGUAAUGCCUGGGAAAUUGCCCAGUCGAGGGGGAUAACAGUUGGAAACGACUGCUAAUACCGCAUACGCCCUACGGGGGAAAGCAGGGGACCUUCGGGCCUUGCGCGAUUGGAUAUGCCCAGGUGGGAUUAGCUUGUUGGUGAGGUAAUGGCUCACCAAGGCGACGAUCCCUAGCUGGUCUGAGAGGAUGAUCAGCCACACUGGAACUGAGACACGGUCCAGACUCCUACGGGAGGCAGCAGUGGGGAAUAUUGCACAAUGGGGGAAACCCUGAUGCAGCCAUGCCGCGUGUGUGAAGAAGGCCUUCGGGUUGUAAAGCACUUUCAGCGAGGAGGAAAGGUUGAUGCCUAAUACGCAUCAGCUGUGACGUUACUCGCAGAAGAAGCACCGGCUAACUCCGUGCCAGCCGCCGCCGUAACAC
rnacentral:rRNA from 1 species